CUCCUACGGGAGGCAGCAGUGGGGAAUAUUGGACAAUGGGCGCAAGCCUGAUCCAGCAAUGCCGCGUGUGUGAAGAAGGCCUUCGGGUUGUAAAGCACUUUUAUCAGGAGCGAAAUACUACCGGUUAAUAACCGGUGGGGCUGACGGUACCUGAGGAAUAAGCACCGGCUAACUUCGUGCCAGCAGCCGCGGUAAUUC
rnacentral:rRNA from 1 species